rnacentral:piRNA from 1 species
UGAGUGAGACCUGCCUUCUCUCCGG